GAUGAACGCUGGCGGCGUGCCUAAUACAUGCAAGUCGAGCGAACGGACGAGAAGCUUGCUUCUCUGAUGUUAGCGGCGGACGGGUGAGUAACACGUGGAUAACCUACCUAUAAGACUGGGAUAACUUCGGGAAACCGGAGCUAAUACCGGAUAAUAUUUUGAACCGCAUGGUUCAAAAGUGAAAGACGGUCUUGCUGUCACUUAUAGAUGGAUCCGCGCUGCAUUAGCUAGUUGGUAAGGUAACGGCUUACCAAGGCAACGAUGCAUAGCCGACCUGAGAGGGUGAUCGGCCACACUGGAACUGAGACACGGUCCAGACUCCUACGGGAGGCAGCAGUAGGGAAUCUUCCGCAAUGGGCGAAAGCCUGACGGAGCAACGCCGCGUGAGUGAUGAAGGUCUUCGGAUCGUAAAACUCUGUUAUUAGGGAAGAACAUAUGUGUAAGUAACUGUGCACAGCUUGACGGUACCGAAUCAGAAAGCCACGGCUAACUACGUG
rnacentral:rRNA from 1 species